rnacentral:misc_RNA from 1 species
GAUGAAGAACGCAGCGAAAUGCGAUAAGUAAUGUGAAUUGUAGAAUUCCGUGAAUCAUCGAAUCUUUGAACGCAUAUUGCGCCCUCUGGCAUUCCGGGGGGCAUGCCUGUCCGAGCGUCAUUGCUGCCCUCAAGCACGGCUUGUGUGUUGGGCCUCCGUCCUCCUCCCGGGGGACGGGCCCGAAAGGCAGCGGCGGCACCGCGUCCGGUCCUCGAGCGUAUGGGGCUUCGUCACCCGCUCUUGUAGGCCCGGCCGGCGCUUGCCGACACAUCAAUCUUUUUUCCAGGUUGACCUCGGAUCAGGUAGGGAUACCCGCUGAACUUAAGCAUAUCAAUAAGCGGAGGA